AGUGAACGCUGGCGGUAGGCCUAACACAUGCAAGUCGAACGGCAGCACAGUAAGAGCUUGCUCUUACGGGUGGCGAGUGGCGGACGGGUGCGGAAUACAUCGGAAUCUACUUUUUCGUGGGGGAUAACGUAGGGAAACUUACGCUAAUACCGCAUACGACCUACGGGUGAAAGCAGGGGAUCUUCGGACCUUGCGCGUUUGAAUGAGCCGAUGUCGGAUUAGCUAGUUGGCGGGGUAAAGGCCCACCAAGGCGACGAUCCGUAGCUGGUCUGAGAGGAUGAUCAGCCACGCUGGAACUGAGACACGGUCCAGACUCCUACGGGAGGCAGCAGUGGGGAAUAUUGGACAAUGGGCGCAAGCCUGAUCCAGCCAUACCGCGUAGAUGAAGAAGGCCUUCGGGUUGUAAAGCCCUUUUGUUGGGAAAGAAAAGCAGCAGGUUAAUACCCCGCUGUUCUGACGGUACCCAAAGAAUAAGCACCGGCUAACUUCGUG
rnacentral:rRNA from 1 species